rnacentral:rRNA from 1 species
CAUGCAAGUCGACGCGAAGCGGGCUUCGGUCCGCAAGUAGAGUGGCAGACGGGUGAGUAACGCGUGGGUGACCUGCCUUCGAGUGGGGGAUAACCUUCCGAAAGGGGGGCUAAUACCGCAUAACAUCCCGCCCUUGGAUGGGUGGUGAUCAAAGUCGGGGAUCGCAAGACCUGGCGCUUGAAGAGGGACCCGCGUCCAAUUAGCUUGUUGGUGGGGUAGCGGCCUACCAAGGCGUCUAUCGGUAGCCGGCCUGAGAGGGCGGACGGCCACACUGGGACUGAGACACGGCCCAGACUCCUACGGGAGGCAGCAGUGGGGAAUUGUUCGCAAUGGGCGCAAGCCUGACAACGCAACGCCGCGUGGAGGACGAAGGUCUUCGGGUUGUAAACUCCUGUCGAGCGGGACGAACAGCGUGCGGGUUAAUACCCCGUGCGCCUGACGGUACCGUUAAAGGAAGCCCCGGCUAACUCCGUGCCGGCAGCCGCGGUAAUACGGGGGGGGGGCAAGCGUUGUUCGGAAUUACUGGUCGUAGGGGGCUCGUAGGCGGCCAUCCAAGUACGAACGUUAAAUCCGUCGUCUCAGCGGGGAAUGUGCGAUGCAUACUGUCUGGCUUGGACGCCGGAGAGAUGCAUGCGAAAUU